GAGUAAUGUCUGGGAAACUGCCUGAUGGAGGGGGAUAACUACUGGAAACGGUAGCUAAUACCGCAUAACGUCGCAAGACCAAAGAGGGGGACCUUCGGGCCUCUUGCCAUCAGAUGUGCCCAGAUGGGAUUAGCUAGUAGGUGGGGUAACGGCUCACCUAGGUGACGAUCCCUAGCUGGUCUGAGAGGAUGACCAGCCACACUGGAACUGAGACACGGUCCAGACUCCUACGGGAGGCAGCAUG
rnacentral:rRNA from 1 species